UACAGAGGGUGCGAGCGUUGUCCGGAAUCACUGGGCGUAAAGGGCGCGUAGGUGGCCUGGUAAGUAGGGGGUGAAAUCUCGUGGCUCAACUGCGAGGCUGCCUCCUAAACUGUCAGGCUCGAGCAGAGUAGAGGCAGAUGGAAUUCCGGGUGUAGCGGUGGAAUGCGUAGAGAUCCGGAAGAACACCGGUGGCGAAGGCGGUCUGCUGGGCAGUAGCUGACACUGAGGCGCGACAGCGUGGGGGAGCAAACAGG
rnacentral:rRNA from 1 species